rnacentral:rRNA from 1 species
GCAGGCGCAGCUACACAUGCAGUCGAGCGGUAACAGAUCCAGCUUGCUGGAUGCUGACGAGCGGCGGACGGGUGAGUAAUGCAUAGGAAUCUGCCCGAUAGUGGGGGAUAACCUGGGGAAACCCAGGCUAAUACCGCAUACGUCCUACGGGAGAAAGGGGGCUUCGGCUCCCGCUAUCGGAUGAGCCUAUGUCGGAUUAGCUAGUUGGUGAGGUAACGGCUCACCAAGGCCACGAUCCGUAGCUGGUCUGAGAGGAUGAUCAGCCACAUCGGGACUGAGACACGGCCCGAACUCCUACGGGAGGCAGCAGUGGGGAAUAUUGGACAAUGGGGGGAACCCUGAUCCAGCCAUGCCGCGUGUGUGAAGAAGGCCCUCGGGUUGUAAAGCACUUUCAGCGAGGAAGAACGCCUAGCGGUUAAUACCCGCUAGGAAAGACAUCACUCGCAGAAGAAGCACCGGCUAACUCCGUGCCAGCAGCCGCGGUAAUACGGAGGGUGCAAGCGUUAAUCGGAAUUACUGGGCGUAAAGCGCGCGUAGGUGGCUUGAUAAGCCGGUUGUGAAAGCCCCGGGCUCAACCUGGGAACGGCAUCCGGAACUGUCAAGCUAGAGUGCAGGAGAGGAAGGUAGAAUUCCCGGUGUAGCGGUGAAAUGCGUAGAGAUCGGGAGGAAUACCAGUGGCGAAGGCGGCCUUCUGGACUGACACUGACACUGAGGUGCGAAAGCGUGGGUAGCAAACAGGAUUAGUCCCC